rnacentral:rRNA from 1 species
UACGUAGGGCGCAAGCGUUAUCCGGAAUUAUUGGGCGUAAAGAGCUCGUAGGCGGUUUGUCGCGUCUGCCGUGAAAGUCCGGGGCUCAACCCCGGGCCUGCAGUGGGUACGGGCAGACUAGAGUGCGGUAGGGGAGACUGGAAUUCCUGGUGUAGCGGUGAAAUGCGCAGAUAUCGGGAGGAACACCGGUGGCGAAGGCGGUUCUCUGGGCCUUACCUGACGCUGAGGAGCGAAAGCGUGGGGAGCGAACAGG